AUUUUCCUCUGUUCUUUAUUUUUCCCGUUAUACUCUAUUCUAAUUUUAUAUUUUUUUUUUCUUUAUUUUCCUGUAUCUAUACCUCCUUUAUUCGGAGCAACCCCACCCUAAAUAUACAUAUGAUACACACGGUCUAUAGGUCAUCGCUUGUGCCGUGAUACAUGUUUGCAUAACAAAGGAUGUCCUUGUUCAUAUUUAUAACAUUUUAAAUGUCCUCCUAAUAAUACAUAUAAUAGUUGCCACUGGACAUUAAACAGCUAACUCUAAAUUCAUCCGUCAUAUUCUUAGUUUUGUUAUAAUGUGUAAAUCACACAACAUGAUGAACAAAUAAUUAUUGCAGAUUUUCACUGCCGAAAUAAUGGGAAAUAAUUGUAAACAAAACCACUCAAUCACAUCCCUACGCCACAAAGUCUUUUCACAUGUAAAUAAAUUAUUUUCAUAAAUCUAUUUCAAAAUAAUUUUAAACAAUUUUAAAUCAAACGGUCAUUUUUCUUAUUUGCCAAAAAAAACAACAACAUCAAACAGUUAUUUUCUUUUCUUAUUUUAAACAGAUCGAUUGUUUUCAAUGGUCGGUGCCUGACAGCAUCUAUAAAAUCUAUCACCAUGUUUGCCAAUAAGAAAGCUUCAUAGAACAGGAAAACAACAAUGUCUUAUAGAAAUACUUCCAGGCCAUAUUUUCCAAUUUCUGUUGUAAUGUGGUUUAAUGCAAAAAAGAUCCAGGGACACAGAUGUCAGAAUGAAUAAGAAAACACUAAAUUCUUCAAUAAUAUAUUGUAAAAUGGACAGCAAGCACAUUUGAUAGACUAGUGUACUAAUAGAUUUUCUUGUGUAUUUUCUAUGUUCUGGAAACUUCAACAUCCUAUCAAAAAUACUUAAAUUAAAGUCUUAAGUUUAAUUAAAUGUUUUUUUUUUUAAAUAUUAUUUGCAAGGCUGCAUGAACAUUGCACCUAUCGUUUUCGUAUAUUUCUUUUCCGCCAUGCAUAAGUUUAAUGUUUACUGUGACUUCUAUAAUGCUUAAAAAAUGAUGCAAUUGUAUUAUCAAUCUAAAAAUAUUAAUCGUGAACAACAACAAAAAUAAAUUAUAUAUUAAACGA